UACACUAUAUUAUCAUUCAAAAAUUCUAUCCAUCAUCCGGUUUCCUUUUCCACACACCACACUCCUGACGUGGCCAACUGGUUCGGUCCACACAUCAUGGUUUAUUGAAUAAAUGUAAAAUUGAAAUCUCGAGCUCAGUUUCCCCCGCUUUCAGUUUCCCUCUUCAGACCUCUUAGCUUUCCCUGAAAGAACGAAGACGGAGCGAGGCCCCCCGAGGUUGUUGCUUCAUUCUCCCCCCAUACCCAUUACUUCAACUAUGGAUUAUGGAGUCAGGCGAGCAAGGGAAAGACCCAGACGCAGCAUUCUUUGUCACCCCGACGCCAACAACCCCAAUCCCCUUCAGUCCUGAACCCUAGAAAUCACCCCCUUCAUUCCCUACAUAUAUUAUUUCUCACCCCGACGACAACAACCCCCUUCAGUCCCGAACCCAUAGAGAUCAGCCCUUAUGGUCCCGUCGCCCCCAUUCUUUCUCACCCCGACACCAACAAUCCCCUUCAGUCCUGAACCCAUAGAGAUCAGCCCCUACGGUCCCGUCGCCCUCAUUCUUUCUCACCCCGACUCCACCAAUCCCCUUGAGUCCUGAGAAAUAAGCCUCUUCAGUCCCGAACCCUAGAUAAUCGCCCCUUUAGUCUCGAAUCUGUUCUUACUGUCGAACUUGGUGACUCGAAGGCUAACCGAGAUGCUGAACCGAUUCUUCCUCAAAGCCGGUCUAUCCUUUAGACCCAAGCCGCUGCAAGAUUCAUCCUGAAAGGGACAAACAAGAUGUCAAUUCUUCGUUUGGGAAAAUAUACUUCAAUCAAUACUACGUGAGACUGCCAACAAGACAAGAGAGAAUGAACUUCGGAUGAGGGAGGAUGCUGUUUUGUUGUGUGAAUAUGAAGCCCAAAAAAAAGGGAGAAACUAAUAGAGAGAGAGAGAGUAUGCUUAAGAAUCAAGAAGACGAACUCGGAAGAAGGAUGGCAACGAAUAGGAUUGGACGUAUUUUGUUGUGUAUGUGUUGGAUUGUAUCUCUUGUUAGAUUUUUGGGUUGAUUCUAAAUGUGUAUCCUAGUCGAGCUUGCCACUACUAAACUUAUAUGGUUAUUGUGAAUAUAUCCUUAUAUUUUCAGCCUGUAAAAUAUGUUUUGGAGCUUGGGAUAUUUUUAGGCAUUGGUAAGAUUUUAGUGUAUGAAUU